rnacentral:rRNA from 1 species
ACGCUCGACACCUACGGGAGGUAGCAGUUGGGAAUAUUGGACAAUGGAGGAAACUCUGAUCCAGUGACGCCGCGUGAAGGAAGAAGGUCUUCGGAUUGUAAACUUAUUUUGUCAGGGAAGAAAAAUGACUGUACCUGAAGAAAAAGCACCGGCUAACUACGUGCCAGCAGCCGCGGUAAUCUGAGCGGGCUGGCAAGGC